CUCCCACUUUGGAGCGAGAUCCGUUCCGAGUAAAAGCGGUCAUGGAGCUCUUUGAACUGUGUCUGUACCGAUAUUUAUAGGAAAGCCUUCUUUGCAGUUUUUCAAUGGGUUGGAGGAAACCUACGAGUUUAAUGGUGCACAAACUCCCACGCAUUUCUAUAGUGACUUGAGAGAGAUGGUGUAUGACUUUCAUGCUCAACUACGGGUAACUCUGGAUCAUCCUCUUCUGAAGUGGGUACAAGUGCUCGAGACCUCACUUGUGGGGGUAACCAUGUUUCAAGACCGAAGAAUUGGCAAUAUGGAAUAGAACAAGCACAGGAUGAUUAAAUGGUGUGAAUUCAUGCUGUCCCAUCACUGAUGAUGCCAGGAAGGCAGUCAAAAUUUUCAGUGACAUUACAAAUUCUACAGAGAAAGUGAAGAUAUCAUUGGUAGAUGAAACUGGAAAUGAGGGCCUGCCAAACUUCAAUUAUAUACCAUAUGAUCACAGCUCACUUACUACGUACCAUGAGAAGACCCUACCGUUGUAAAUUAUGGGUUAGACAACGCCAUCGAAAUAAAAAUGCACCAAAUAUAAUGCAUCACAAAACCGGCAUGGCAACAGGAUAGACACUGCCAUCGAGAUAGAGAAUACCUCUACACCCAAACAUUUGCCACCCCAUGCCUAGGCCAACAGGAACAAACGAGCACAACCGCCAGAGCUUCGAGGUGAUGAGAAGAAAGAAGAAGAGAAUGGUGAAUGCUCCCUCCGUCAACUCGAACUUGAAAAAAUAAAAGAGCCUGUUGAAGACUCCCUGAGUCUGACUCAACCCAAUACUCCAGCUUCAAAGAAGAAGGAAGAAGAGAAUGGUGAAUGCUCCAAAGAGCUCGUUGAAGAUUUCCUGAGUCUGACUCAACCCAAUACUCCAGCUUCAAAGAAGAAGGAAGAAGAGAAUGGUGAAUGCUCCAAAGAGCUCGUUGAAGACUCCCUGAGUCUGACUCAACCCAAUUAAUACUCCAGCUUCAAAGAAGAAGGAAGAAGAAAAGCUUUGCGAGAAGAGAAGGAUCUUGAAGGAAGAGUGGGACAAAUGGGUAUCUGAGUGGAAGCAGUUGCACAAAGAAGAGAAAUGGCAGAGGCAAUUGCUUAGAGACGGAGAAGCAAGUGAUGAGGAAGUGAAGAAAAGGUGCUGGUGCGCACUGUACGGGUGCGUUUUGGUUUCACUCAUGAGGAGCGAGUGCGGAAGAUGGAGAUGAUUAAAAAAGAAGACUCACUGAGUCGAUACCG
rnacentral:sRNA from 1 species